GAGGGGGCGGGGGGACGGACCCCACGGUUACCAUCAAAGGAUAAGACUGUAAAACUUUAAAUAUGACGAAUUCAAAUUUAUAUUAAGUCUUUGUAUAAAAUCGAUUUUUAAAUGACUUACUUAAAAAAAUUUCAAGAAAAUGACAGAAGAUUUUUAUGGAAAUUAAUCAUUUUUACAAGGAAAUAGUCUGAGUAGUUCCGUGCAGUCGUCUUUAAUGUCUCAUCCUUUGUGGGCAACCCUGUUAAUGUUAAUGUUAAAUUACGUGUUAAUUUGUGGUUUGUUGUUAAAUUAAAUGAUGUUUAUAAUUUUCAGAUUGAAAUCUGCACUGUAGAAUGUCUCGGCACGAGGGCGUGUCCUGUGAUUCAUGUAUGAAAGGAAAUUUCCAAGGGCGGAGAUUCAAAUGCCUGGUCUGCUACGACUACGAUCUUUGCAGUAAUUGUUUCGAAGCUGGAGUUUCGACAACCCGGCAUACAGCAGCACACCCCAUGCAGUGUAUACUAACUAGAACUGAUAGUGAUUUAUACUUUGGAGGAGACUCCUCUCUCUCAUCAGAACAUCAGAAUUCAUUCACGUGCCCGUUCUGUUCCAAGAUGGGGUUCACAGAGAACACUCUUCAGGAACAUGUGUCUAGUCAGCAUCUUGAGACGAGUGCCGAGGUUGUCUGUCCAAUCUGCGCUUCAUUCCCAGGCGGAGAUCCAAACCAUCUUACAGAUGAUUUCCAGGGUCACUUGAACCUAGAGCAUAGAGGGGGGUCUAGGGAUCUAGAGAACCGAGCAGGAGCUCGGGAUCUUAUUUCAUUUCUAGACGAACCUGGUGGAAUACAACGUCAAGGAGCUGUCAGACGAAUUGCUCAUCCUCGUGGUGCGUUUACAUCUCACAGAACCCGGCGACACAAUAAUCCUCCAGCAUCUGCUUCACUAGGUUCCUCCAGUUUAUCAACGAUCUCCCCCUCCACAAGAGAAGCAGUUGAUCCUAUAGCAGAGCUUCUCUCACAGCUCAGUGGAGUCCGACGAGCUCAAGGGUCAACCUCAUCCUCUCUCCAACAGCUUCAAAUGGAGCUUCAACUACGUCAGCAGGCUCCUGGACACCGUCAGACCUUGGACCGGCUCGCCCGGCGCGCUCCUGGUGCGUCCAGCGCCGGCCCGGUACACCCAGCCGUCGGGCAGCCAAGUUCCGUUCAGGGUUCACAAGUCACAGCCGCCACAGGUCAGCCUCCCUACCAGAGUAAUCAAAAGGAUCGGAAAGGUGAAACCGGUUUUCUUCUCUCUACUCUGGAGAGUGGGGAGAGCGGAACACGAGACGGGACGGGAGAAAACGCCAAACAGAGAAUAUUCAUUCAGGAUCUUCUUCUUGCAGCCUUAAACCUAGAAGAACCGGAGCAGGAGGACGAGGAGUCUUGAUUCUUUUUAUUUUAACUUUUUUCAUAUCUUUGGCGGGUUUCAUCACAAUCUCCUUAUACGUAGUCAUCAUUUACAACCGUAUUCAUCCGAAGAUUUGAUUGUUAAACGUUUUAUCAACCUGAGUUUGCGUGGGAUUUCUUUAAGUGAAGUGACUAAUAUGGAGAAGUAACGAGCAUUGGUCCGGAGAGGGUUCUGGUUUCAAAUUUCGGGAGAUUGUAAUGAAACUUGUCGCAGGGUUGAACAAUAUGUGGAUGUGAUUAAGUCGUGGUUAUUGGUUUAAAAUAUCCCGAGCACGCUGAGCCAUUUUAAACUCGACGGUUUGUGCAGACUACAAGAAUUUCACGUGUAGCUUUCUUUGAUCAAGCUUACAAUCAACCUGGUGAAACUAAUGUCAUUGUUCAAUGUUUAUUCAGUCAUUUGAACUAAUAGAUUUUAUAUUAUUUAUAAAUGUAUUAGUUGGAGCCCAAAUUUUCUGCAAUAUUCUCAAUAUUCUCUACGUCAAAGUUCUACGUUAAAUAGAUGUAUUCAAUUUUUGUAUGAAAAUAUGUUUUUCGGGGAGAUAAUUCUAUUUCAAAACUUCUGGGUUCAAUGUUGGAAAUAAUUUUAUAGUAUUGAGUUUAAUAAACAUAAAUUGCUAAAGUGUAGGGUCGAUUUUAAAAGCUCUGGGUGGGGUAUUUAAGCCUGGAUCUGAACUCCUGGUUCUAUAUUCAACAAGUGAUUGAAACCUAACCUCCACAUAUCAAAGGUUCAAAUUUUCCUUUUUAAUGUUAAGAAAUCAAAAUUUGAUGGAAGUUCUGGCUUUAUAUGCAUUCACGUUAUCACAACUCGAGACUUUAUAUCGUAAUCUGUGUUCUGUGAAAAAUUGAUUAUAAUCUGUGAUCAUCUCGAGUGAAAACCCCCUCCCCCCCCCCUCCUAUACUCAACCUUCCCCCUCACCAACCCUACUCUAUUUAUUCUAUUAUCUGGCUUUGUAACCUUAACUCCCUUAUUUAAAGGUUUAUCAAAUUACAGUGAAAUAAACAUUUUAUAUAAAGUACAUUUUCCUGCUUUUUCGCCAUAUUCGUAAAUCCUGUAAAUGGAAUUUGAUUUAAAUCAUUUUAAAAGCGUUCAACGUAUUAUCUCUAGUUAAUUGUUAAAAUUCUAACACGUCUGUUAAUAAAUAUCAAGGUAUACAU
rnacentral:misc_RNA from 1 species